CCUACGGGAGGCAGCAGUGGGGAAUAUUGCACAAUGGGCGAAAGCCUGAUGCAGCGACGCCGCGUGAGGGACGACGGCCUUCGGGUUGUAAACCUCUUUCAGCAGGGACGAAGCGAAAGUGACUGUACCUGCAGAAGAAGCACCGGCUAACUACGUGCCAGCAGCCGCGGUAAUACGUAGGGUGCAAGCGUUGUCCGGAUUUAUUGGGCGUAAAGAGCUCGUAGGCGGUUUGUCGCGUCGGAUGUGAAAACCUAUGGCUUAACCAUGGGCCUGCAUUCGAUACGGGCAGACUAGAGUUCGGUAGGGGAGACUGGAACUCCUGGUGUAGCGGUGAAAUGCGCAGAUAUCAGGAAGAACACCGGUGGCGAAGGCGGGUCUCUGGGCCGAUACUGACGCUGAGGAGCGAAAGCGUGGGGAGCAAACAGGAUUAGAUACCCUGGUAGUCCACGCCGUAAACGUUGGGCGCUAGGUGUGGGGAACCUUCCACGUUCUCCGUGCCGUAGCUAACGCAUUAAGCGCCCCGCCUGGGGAGUACGGCCGCAAGGCUAAAACUCAAAUGAAUUGACGG
rnacentral:rRNA from 1 species